rnacentral:rRNA from 1 species
GACGUAGGGCGCGAGCGUUGUCCGGAUUUAUUGGGCGUAAAGAGCUCGUAGGCGGCUCAUUGCGUCAACCGUGAAAACCAGCAGCUCAACUGUUGGCUUGCGGUUGAUACGGGUGGGCUGGAGUUCGGUAGGGGAGACUGGAAUUCCUGGUGUAGCGGUGAAAUGCGCAGAUAUCAGGAGGAACACCGGUGGCGAAGGCGGGUCUCUGGGCCGUAACUGACGCUGAGGAGCGAAAGCGUGGGGAGCGAACAGG